rnacentral:rRNA from 1 species
GACGUAGGGGGCGAGCGUUGUCCGGAUUUAUUGGGCGUAAAGCGUGCGUAGGCGGCUGCGCAAGUCGGGUGUGAAACCCCGGGGCUCAACCCCGGAACUGCAUCCGAUACUGCGUGGCUAGAGGUAGGUAGGGGAGAUCGGAAUUCCUGGUGUAGCGGUGAAAUGCGCAGAUAUCAGGAGGAACACCGAUGGCGAAGGCAGGUCUCUGGGCCACUACUGACGCUGAGAAGCGAAAGCAUGGGGAGCGAACAGG